rnacentral:tRNA from 1 species
UGGGGUGUGGCUCAGUGGUAGAGCGCUUGCCUCAUAUGUGUGAGGCCCUGAGUUCCAUCUUCAGCACCACAU